UGCAGAGGUCCCAAGCGUUGUUCGGAUUCACUGGGCGUAAAGGGUGCGUAGGCGGUCGGGUAAGUCUGAUGUGAAAUCUCACAGCUUAACUGUGAAACUGCAUUGGAUACUAUCCGGCUCGAGGAAUGGAGGGGAGACUGGAAUACUUGGUGUAGCAGUGAAAUGCGUAGAUAUCAAGUGGAACACCAGUGGCGAAGGCGAGUCUCUGGACAUUUCCUGACGCUGAGGCACGAAAGCCAGGGGAGCAAACGGG
rnacentral:rRNA from 1 species